AAUCAACGCUGGCGGCGCGCUUAACACAUGCAAGUCGCACGAGAAAGGGAUCAAUCCUGAGUAAAGUGGCGUACGGGUGAGUAACACGUGGGAAUCUACCUCUUGGCGGGGAAUAACCCUGGGAAACCGGGGCUAAUACCGCAUAAGCUCGUGAGAGGAAAGCAGCAAUGCACCGAGAGAGGAGCCCGCGGCCGAUUAGCUAGUUGGUGGGGUAAUGGCUCACCAAGGCGAAGCUCGGUAGCCGGCCUGGGAGGGCACACGGCCACACUGGAACUGAAACACGGGCCAGACUCCUACGGGAGGCAGCAGUGGGGAAUCUUGCACAAUGGGGGAAACCCUGAUGCAGCGACGCCGCGUGAGCGAUGAAGCCCUUCGGGGUGUAAAGCUCUUUCGACAGGAACGAUAAUGACGGUACCUGGAGAAGAAGCUGCGGCUAACUACGUG
rnacentral:rRNA from 1 species